rnacentral:rRNA from 1 species
GCAUGCAAGUCGAGCGAUUUUGAUUACUGAAGGAAGGUGAAACCUUCGGGUUGAUCUUUCCGGAUUUAAUCGAGAUAGCGGCAAACGGGUGAGUAACACGUGAGUAACGUACCUUGAGGAGGGAAACAGCUUCGUGAAAACGGAGGUAAUGUCCCAUAGUCCUUUAAGCCUGAGAUGGUUUUUAGGUAAAGAUGGCCUCUACUUGUAAGCUAUCACCUUAAGAGCGGCUCGCGCCCUAUCAGGUAGUUGGUGAGGUAACUGCUCACCAAGCCGAAGACGGGUAGCUGGCGUAAGAGCGUGGUCAGCCACAUCGGGACUGAGACACUGCCCGGACUCCUACGGGAGGCUGCAGUCGAGAAUCUUUCACAAUGAGCGAAAGCUUGAUGAUGCGACGCCGCGUGGGGGAUGAAGGUUUUCGGAUUGUAAACCCCUUUUAUUAAGGAGGAAAUCUAUAAGGUGAAUAAUCUUAUAGUUUGACUGUACUUAAUGAAUAAGCCACGGCUAACUCCGUGCCAGCAGCCGCGGUAAUACGGAGGUGGCUAGCGUUACUCGGUUUGACUGGGUGUAAAGGGUCUGUAGGCGGCCAGAUAAGUGAAAGGUGAAAUCCUUCCGCUCAACGGAAGAACUGCCUUUCAAACUGUUUGGUUUGAGGAUGGAAGAAGAGAACGGAACUGUCGGUGUAAAGGUGAAAUUUGUGGAUAUUGACAGGAACGCCCGUAGCGUAGGCGGUUCUCUAGUUCAUUCCUGACGCUCAGAGACGAAAGCUAGGGGAGCAAACAGGAUUAGAUACCCUGGUAGUCCUAGCUGUAAACGAUGGGCACUAGGUGUUCGUUCUUUAAGGAUGAGUGCCGAAGUUAACGCGUUAAGU